CGCGGGCGCAGUUUUUACCCACCGAUGAUUGGCUGGGCGCUUGGAAUGACGUAGGCGUUCGAGAGAAGCUUUUACGACGAUUUGUCCGUUUCCUCCUUUCCUGAGCGUCAGUGGACAAGCGCAAACUGGACAAAGGCACAGGUGACAAAUUCACCCUGGUAACAGACCACGUGCCCCUCCAGUGGAUCCAGAGUAUGAAGAACAUGAACCCGUGCAUAUUAAGGAGAUUGCAGGUGGUGUAAGAGAGCUGCUUUUGGCUCAUUCCAGAUGAGUAAGCUAAUUCCCAAAGUGACCAGCAGAAUGUGCUGACGUGAUCUAUGUACAAAAGCUGCAAGGAUCAUAUAUGAAACCUAGAUGUUUCCAGAGUCCUCCAGAGGAAGAAAAGCAACGUGCCUCAGGUGGAGAAGCCAUCAGAGAAAGUGUCAGCACACAUCCAGUCUGUUACUGCUGUGGAUAAAAAUAAAGUAACAACAGACCACAGUCGCUACCUCCGGGAUCACUUGAACACUUUAGUUGUGCUUUUUCACAGUGCUAGAGGGAAUAACAGGAAAACAAAUCCAGGUUAGAUUUGCCAUCUUCAGAGGUUUUGUCAGAAGGACUGUCAGCCGAGAUACGAAGUUCCAGAGUGUCCAAGUUGCAAAAAGGAAAGGAGGAUCCAGAAUGAUUGACAAGUUCAUUUUGCAAUCAAAGAGAGACAAGGAAGCCUUGCAGAAGAGUAUUGUGGUGCUAGAUGACAUGCUGGAAAUAUAUAAAGAGCAUAAUAAACCAGCUGAAGGACACGAGAGCAAAGUAACAUGCUCUGUGGUGUGUAUGCACUUUCGAGUACAGUCCCCAGAAAUUUUUCUUUCAAGUAUCCAUCGGGGACAGUUUGAGCUCCUAUAGGUGCCAUGCACUUAUAGUCCCAGUAUAAAGUACCACGCCAGCACCACUGUAGCCUGCUGUGAGGUGACAGAAACCGGACUCCCCGCAGACUGAAGGGGCGUAAGCAUUUAAACCCCUCUCAUGAAGAACUUCUGGUCCAAAGUAUGCAAUCUGUCCUUCAGAUGGGAACCAUGGAAGAGAUUUUGAAGAAUUUAAGAAGGAAGGGUUUCUCCUCGCAUUGUUUCAUACUCCAAAAGCCAAGGGAGUCUCAGACUGAUUCUACACCUGUACCACUUCAACAACUGUCUCAAGAAAAUAACUUUUCAGAAGGCAACACAGCACCUCAUAUUCAUCAGAUCUUCAGUGAUAUUAUUAUAUGACUUGACAGAUAUGGUGUAUUUUAUGCAAAAUAGUCAUGAGUUGUUGUUGGAAAGGUUAUGCUUUGCAGACUGCGAUUAUCCUAUUUGUAUGCCUAUCAUUUUUGUGUCUGAAGUUAGGAAUAUUGACUAUGUAUCUGUAUUUCAAAUAUAAUUACACCUGGGGCACAUUCAAAAAGAUGCUUUCGACCUAAUUAGGGGAUAGGGAAAAGGCCGUUAGGGAAAAACAAUAGGCCUUAGGAGAAGCUUAUCUCCCAACUGGUGACCUUUCUUGUGAACAUUCCAAACAGCUUGAGAGUAAUGGCGUUAUGAUUCUAUAAGGACAUGUGAUGAGACCACAUGUCUUUAGACUCCUCCUUGGGAUGUCAAUAUUUUUCCAUGGACCAGUCUGGGGACCAAACUUUGAAACAAAGUGUUCCCAUCAUAUGGAAAAGCUAUAUAAGGCAAGGAGUGACAUCAUCCCAGGUUCCUCACUUACUUCCCACUGAAGAAGACUUUUGGAAACACUUGAGGAAUAAAGACUGAACUGAGGAAAGUGCUGGACACAGGCCUUUGAAUUUUGAGCCUUUGAAUGGCACACUUGGGCUUUGUCUACACUGCAGGAUUUAUGUGCAAGAAGAGAUCUUCUGCAAAAACUUCUUGCACAAAAGCACAUCCACACCUCAAAAGCGA